GACGAACGCUGGCGGCAUGCCUAAUACAUGCAAGUCGAGCGAACAGAUGAAGUGCUUGCACUUCUGACGUUAGCGGCGAACGGGUGAGUAACACGUAAGGAAUCUACCUAUAAGCGGGGGAUAACAUUCGGAAACGGGUGCUAAUACCGCAUAAUAUCUUCUUCCGCAUGGAAGAAGAUUGAAAGACGGCUCUGCUGUCACUUAUAGAUGACCUUGCGGUGCAUUAGUUAGUUGGUGGGGUAACGGCCUACCAAGACGAUGAUGCAUAGCCGACCUGAGAGGGUGAGCGGCCACAUUGGGACUGAGACACGGCCCAAACUCCUACGGGAGGCAGCAGUAGGGAAUCUUCCGCAAUGGGCGAAAGCCUGACGGAGCAAUGCCGCGUGAGUGAAGAAGGCCUUCGUGUCGUAAAACUCUGUUAUAAGAGAAGAACAAAUUGUAGAGUAACUGCUACAGUCUUGACGGUAUCUUAUCAGAAAGCCACGGCUAACUACGUGCCAGCAGCCGCGGUAA
rnacentral:rRNA from 1 species